rnacentral:rRNA from 1 species
AGAGCAUUGAACGACGAUGCCCGUAAAUGUGUCAAUGUGCCCUUUUCGUUGCCCCCAUGUUGGGGGUCAAUUGAUUAUAGCUCGGUGCGAUCGGCACCAAGGAACAAUGAACUCAGAAGCAGAUGGCUCUCAACGUGCGCGGGGAGGCCAAUGCAUCAGAGAUGCCUCUAAAUCAAAUGACUCUCGGCAAUGGAUAUCUCGGCUCUUGCAUCGAUGAAGAACGUAGUGAAAUGCGAUACUUGGUGUGAAUUGCAGAAUCUCGUGAACCAUUGAGUCUUUGAACGCAAGUUGUGCCCGAGGCUUUGCCAAGGGCACGCCUGCUUGGGCGUCAUGGCAUCAUCGCCUUUGCUCCAUGCUUUGUUGGUGCCAAGCGCGGAAAUUGGCCUCGUGUGCCCUCGGGCACAGUCGGCUGAAGAGUGGGCAAUCGGCAGUCGUCGGGCGCGAUGGGUGUUGGUCGCCCUGUGCGUGAACUAAACGUCGUCCCCGCCGUGUCAGGAUGAGUCCUCAAGAGACCCUGUGUGAUUGCGGCGUCGCAUGAAAGUGCCGUGUCCAUCAAAUUGUGGC